rnacentral:rRNA from 1 species
GGUCGAGCAAGGAAGAAAAUCGGACGUAGUGAUCCGGUGGUUCUGCGUGGAGGGGCAAUCGCUCAACGGAUAACAGCUACCCUGGGGAUAACAGGCUUAUCUCCCCCAAGAGUCCACAUCGACGGGGAGGUUUGGCACCUCGAUGUCGGCUCAUCACAGCCUGGGGCUGUAGUAGGUCCAAAGGGUUGGGCUGUUCGCCCAUUAAAGUGGUACGCGAGCUGGGUUCAGAACGUCGUGAGACAGUUCGGUCCCUAUCCGUCGCAGGCGUAGGAAAUUUGAGAAGACC